GGGGAAUCUUCCGCAAUGGGCGAAAGCCUGACGGAGCAACGCCGCGUGAACGAAGAAGGUCUUCGGAUCGUAAAGUUCUGUUGUUAAGGGCGAAGGAUGCUUAUUAUAAUACAGUAAGUAUUUGACGGUACUUAACGAGGAAGCCACGGCUAACUACGUGCCAGCAGCCGCGGUAAUACGUAGGUGGCAAGCGUUGUCCGGAAUUAUUGGGCGUAAAGCGCGCGCAGGUGGUUUCUUAAGUCUGAUGUGAAAGCCCACGGCUUAACCGUGGAGGGUCAUUGGAAACUGGGAGACUUGAGUGCAGAAGAGGAAAGUGGAAUUCCAAGUGUAGCGGUGAAAUGCGUAGAGAUUUGGAGGAACACCAGUGGCGAAGGCGACUUUCUGGUCUGCAACUGACGCUGAGGCGCGAAAGCAUGGGGAGCAAACA
rnacentral:rRNA from 1 species